rnacentral:ncRNA from 2 species
ACACCAUCAAGAGCGACCGAGAGACCUGGCUCCGUGACGUCGCAGCAACCACCUCUUUGGAGGCCGGUGCUACCGCCAGGACCGAUGGAAU